ensembl:lncRNA
AAAAAAUGAAUGACAUUUCGAUUAUAAUUUUAUUUUAUUUCGUUUUUAAUUAAAAUGUAAACGUACAUAAAUACAAACACCAGUAUAAACAAAUAUAAGUCACAAUUUUAAAAGUAAAAAAAUUGCUUAGAUUUUUUUUUUUUUUUUUUAAUCUCCAUAUUUUACACACUUUUAACAUACAUUUUUUAAGUAAAAAUUCAAGAUACUUUUUUUAAAUUAGUAAUACAAUUUUCAAGAAAAGAAAGUUGCAUGUUUGAGUAAAUAAAAUGAUUAUAAAAUAACGAAUACAUAGCAAACUAGAAACAAAGGAAUAACGAAAACUUGCAUUAUGCAAAAUUUGCCUAAAUAUAAUAAUUUCUUAAGUAUACACAAGACUUAAAUGAAUGUAUAUAUAUAGAAGCCUUUAGAAAAAAAAAAAAAAAAAAAAUACACACAUACAUACGUAAAUAUAUACCUACUUGUAUAUAUAUAUAUAUAUAUAUAUAUAUAUAUAUAUAUAUAUAUAUAUCUUACAUUUGGAUGCACCUUUUUUUAAAUAAACACAAUAUAAAUUAAUUAUUUGGCUUAUUACGAUGGAGGAUAAACGAAAACAAGAUGAAGACUUAGAAUCCAACAAGUAUGACAUAGAUGAAGAAGAUAUUUACGAAGACGAAGGAAGAUUAAAUGAAGAAGAAAGGAGAGCCGAAAUGGAAGGAGAAAGUUUAUUUGAAGAAGAUGAUGAAGGUUUUAUUUUUGGAGCAGAAGAUGAUAAAAAAGAGAUGCAAAAGCUUCGUAAUUUAGGGUUGGAUAAAGAUGACUAUGAUGAAGAAUUUAUUGAUGAUGGAGAUUAUGAAGAUGAUUUAAAAGCUAGAAGAGCAGCUGAAAGACAUAUGCAAGUUCAAAAAAAACCAGAAGGACGAAGUGAGAAAAAUAAAUUUUGGGAGAAUGUAGCAGAUGAUAUACAAGGAGAUGAUGAAGAUGAAGAUAUUUUUGAUAAAGUUGCUGAAAAGGUUGCAAAAAGAAGAGAAAAUAUUCAUUUAUCAGCAGAUGAAAGUGAUAUACCUGAUUUAUCAAAUUUGGAGAGUGCAAAAAUAUGUCUAUCUGUGAAUCCUAAAGAUGUUAUUUUUGAUGAAAGAUAUCAACAAGCAGCUGAUACAUGUUUUCGAUAUUUUUUACAUAAAUUUUCGAUAAAAGAUUCAAUGGGUAUAAGCCUAGACCAAUCAACAUCAUCUUAUGCAGAAAGUAAUACUGACGAUAAUAUGAAUAGCUCUGUACAAUAUUAUAUAGAUAAGAUAGAAAAAAUGAUAUUAAAUGAUAAACAUACUUUAAUUGUUUCAGCAAAACAUUUAAUACAAUUUCACUGUGAAAAUUUAGUUCAAUGGAUUGAAUUUAAACCUGAAAAAAUUUUAGAAGUAUUACAUGAAUGUUUAAUGGUAGAAGCAUAUAGAAUAUCACCUAAAUUGUAUAAAGGAAAAAUUUGUAAAGUUGUGUUAAAGGAUUGGCCAUAUUCAACUCAUCUAAGAAAUUUAAGAUGUACUGAAUUGAAUACACUUAUUAAAGUAACAGGGGUUUGUAUUAAAAGAGGAUAUGUACUACCCAAAUUAAGAGUUAUGUAUUUAAAAUGUAACUCUUGUGAUACUACCCUUUCUGAAGUACCCAUUUAUUUUUCUGAUGGAAAAAAACCA